rnacentral:rRNA from 1 species
GUGCCAGCCGCCGCGGUAAUACGGAGGGGGUUAGCGUUGUUCGGAAUUACUGGGCGUAAAGCGCACGUAGGCGGAUCAGAAAGUUGGGGGUUAAAUCCCGGGGCUCAACCCCGGAACUGCCUCCAAAACUACUGGUCUAGAGUUCGAGAGAGGUGAGUGGAAUUCCGAGUGUAGAGGUGAAAUUCGUAGAUAUUCGGAGGAACACCAGUGGCGAAGGCGGCUCACUGGAUCGAUACUGACGCUGAGGUGCGAAAGGGGGGGGAGCAAACAGGAUUAGAUACCCGAGUAGUCC